rnacentral:lncRNA from 1 species
AUGGCUCAGCAUAAUCACCUGAGCAGGGAAACCAGCUGCUGCCACAGCUGGGUCAUUUUUGCUGUCACCAGCAACGUUGCCACUGUGAACAUCUUUGACAGACACGUUCUUGACAUUGAAGCCCACAAUGUCACCAGGAAGAGCUUCACUCAAAGCCUCAUGGUGCAUUUCAACAGACUUUACUUCAGUUGUGACAUUGACUGGUGUGAAGGUGACCACCACGCCAGGUUUGAGGACACCAGUCUCCACUCGGCCCACAGGGAAGGUGAUCAGAGCAGACUCCUCAGAUUCCACACUCGCAGAGCAAAGGAUAAAUAUGGAGGCAAAGUUGCCGAUGAGACUAUGAGCUCAUGGCGUGUGAUGCUGCAGACCCAUGAAUUAAAGGAGGGACGCUCUCCUGCAGUGGUGAAGAAUCCCAGUACCUCUCGUCGGGCUUGGUCACCAGCACUCAGUUCCAUUAAGGAAAACGGGACCCCUCAGAAAGUUCUGUUUCUGUGGAGUUCAAUUCUUCCUACAGUUCUCAACAUCUGCCCGAGAUGUUUCCUUUACUUUGUAGAUGGCAAGUGUUAUGGCGGUCCUACUUUCUGCCUAGUUGGCUUAAACUCUCGUCCUCAUGGGAGUUGCUGCCCAACACACUGCCUCUGUUGCCAUCGUCCUCCUUGGGCUGUGCUGACACUGUGGGCCUUGCCUAGGCAGUCUUCCAGAGGCCACAUGUCAUUAUGUACCAUCACUAUGGAGACCAGGGCCCCGUGACUGGCUGCCCAUAAGCAGAGUCCAGAUUUGCCUGUUUUGCCUGAGCCGUUGCUCGGGCGAGUGCGGGCUCCUGGUCAGUGCAAAACGAGCCACGCUCUCGAAGCCAGGCUUUCCUCUGCCCUGCUGGAGGAGCACUGUUGGUGGCAUUGUGAUGAUGGUGAAAGCCGUUCAGGGGGUUUCUACCUUGAGCAAGACCCGCAGGAAGAGCAUGACUGUCCAACCACCAUCGCAACUGUGAUUUGCUGGCACACAGAAAACUUAAUAAAGGGAUAAAAAUGACUUUGAUUCCAACCAAGCUCUUACAGUCUUUACUGCGGCCUGUCAGUUAGGAGGGUUGCACCUGAGGCUCAGGAUGCCAGCGGUGAAGGAGGCCCAGAGGGGGCUGCAGAC